UAUAAUUCAGCCAGUGAAAAAAACUUGGUAGAGCCUCUUAAAAUUAGGAACAUGACUAAAGGCAUUCCUUCCUCAAAAAAAAAAAAAAAAAAAAAAAAAGGUUAUUUUGAAAGUAAAAUAAACACGCAGUCCUAACAGAUUAACUUCAAAACACCAUGCAGAAUCUCCAUUUUCCACAAUAGGGGGAUUCUCCUGUAAAGUGGUUUAAAGAGACUCUGCUUGAAGAUUUUUUCCCUCUCUAAGGCCAACAUGUGAGCACAUAUACCUUCAGGUCACCAGCGUGUAUUUCUAGAAGCUCAGCCCCUGCUCAUGCCUCUGGCUUUACUCCAAGCCCGAGAAAAAUACAGGCCAUGAAACUAUUCCACAAGCCUCUAGCCAGAGUCUUCACUACCCUCCCUGGAGCUCAGCCCCCCCACCCCCCCGCGAAGGCUCCGGAAGGCUGGCGGGGAGGCUGCGGUACUGGGGAGCUCCAGGGAGGACCCAGCCCACGGCCUCCUGAGCCAGAAGCCCCCCACCGGAGAAGCAGUUUGCUUUUUAAGGCAUUUUCUCCUCCAAGUUAGGAUCAGAGGAGUGGUGCUGGCUGUGGUUGAAAGCUUUUUGGGUUAAACACAAACACUAAUGGAAUGACAGUUGGAAAAAGACAAAUAUAGCAUUACUGUGCCAGGCGUCUCUCGGAGGAGGUGGCGAGAUGGCCCCAGCAGAGCUGCCAGCAAACUGUGGGCUGGUAUCCAUCCUGACCUCCCAGGCCAGGCACAUCCAGACUGGAAGGGGGACUCCUCCCAACACACCCCGAGCACAUCCCAAGAAGCAGGUUCUGCUGAAGCUCCAAAUUGGAUGGAGAAAGAAAAGACUGAAGAUCAUGUUUGUAGGGAGGUGCUCCAACCUCUCUAGGGGGUGACCAGAAGAAAGUUGUCCCUUCUGGAACCAACCAGGGCUCCUUCCUUCCCUGCCAGAAAACAGCUAGUUCUCUGGUGACUGAGAAAACAGGAUGCUCCUCCCCAAGGACCUGAGGGCUAGGCACCUCGGGGACUGCAGUUUCAGCUUGGGGCACAGAUUCCUCCAGAAAGAAGUAAGCAGACACCUCAGGGUAGGGGCUGCUCUCCACUCACUGCUCACUCAAAGAAGCAGGUAUAUUUUUCAAAAGGGAAUAUAGUGCACUCAAGGGAUUCUUUUCUGAUGUGUUAUAUCUGUUUAUAUGCAAAGCCCUAUAAAGGUAUGCAAAUUAAAUCACAUGAAGUUAUGUAUUUGUUGAAUAAGGAAGAAUGUGGUAGCCAAAACUAAAAAGGGAGACUUUGGAGAGGGCUCUUCAGAGAACUCUUCUUAGAGGAAGGGAUCUGGGGUCUUCUUCACUGUGUUGAAAAAUUCCUUCCACCAUGCAAUGGAUGCUGCAUUUAUCACAUUAUAUUCUAAAACAUUUUUUCUUUUUUUGUAUAUGCCAGGAGUUCUUUGAGGCCAAAGUCUACACACCACUUAUCUUUGAAUCCCCUGUGUCCAGUGCUAUGCCUUAGAGGAGCCCAAUAAAUUCUCGUCGAAUGGUUCAUCUAUCAACUGAGAGACUGUAAAUUGUGGCCACCAAGAAAUGAAUGCUCUGUAAACUUAAGUCUGUGUUAUUUCAUUUUUCCUGUUUACCUAACUUCAAAGUAAAAUUUCUUUUCCCCCUCCCUUUUUUUUUUUUUUUUUUUUGGCCAUGCCUGAGGCAUGGGGAAUUACCCAGGCCAGAGAUCAAACCCAUGCCACAGCAGUGACUCAGGCCACUGCAGUGACAAGGCUGGAUCCUUAACCCUCUGUGCCACAAGGGAAUUCCCUCAAAGUAAAAUUUCUUAAAAAAAAAAAAAAAAAAAAAAAGCAAAAACAGCUGUAUAGCAGAAAUUGACAGGACAUUGUAAAUCAACUAUAAUAAAAAAUUUUUAAUUUAAAUAAGUAAAUAAAUAAUUGGUGGGGGGAGCAAAAACAGUCUCUUUUGGUUGAACCACAGAAGGAUCUGCCCAUGCCUAAGUAUAGUGGUAGCAUGAAAGAAAAUCAAGGUCCAUUGCAAUGAGAGAGGAAGACUGCAUAAAGAAAACUGUCAAGCCUCCAACCUAGAAGAAAUGGACAACUUUCUAGAGACAUACAACCAGCCAAAACUGAAUCAAGAAGAAAUAGAUCAACUGAACAGACCAAUCACUAGAAAUGAAAUUGAAUACAUAAUUUAAAAAAAAAAAAAACUCCCUACAAACAAAAGUCCAGGACCAGAUGGCUUCACAGGCAAAUUCUACCAAACAUACAAAGAACUUAUACCCAUACUUCUUAAGCUUUUCCAAAAGGUUAAAGAAGGAAUAAUCCCAAAGACCUUUUAUGAAGCCACCAUCACCCUAAUAAACCAGACAAAGAUACUACCAAAAAAGAAAACUUAGACCAAUAUCUUUGAUGCAUACAGAUGUAAAAAUUCUCAAAAAAUUUUAGCAAACUGGAUCCAACAACAUAUGAAAAAGAUCAUACAGCACAACAAAGUGGGAUUCAUCCCAAGUUCACAAGGAUGGCUCAACACCUGCAAAUCAAUGUCACAUACCACAUUAACAAAAGAAAAGUCAAAAACCACAUGCUCAUCUCAAUAGAUGCAGAAAAAGCAUUUGACAAAAUCCAACAUCCAUUCAUGAUAAAAACUCUUACCAAGGUGGGUAUAAAGGGAACAUACCUUAACAUAAUAAAAGCUAUGCCAAACCCAUAGCCAGUAUAAUACUAAAUGGAGAAAAGCUGAAAGCCUUCCCUUUAAAAUCUGGAACAAGAAGCAGAUGCCCACUCUCAUGACUUUUAUUCAACAUAGUAUUAGAAGUCCUAGACACAGCAAUCAGAAAAACAAAAGAAAUUAAAUGUAUCCAAAUUGGAAGAGAAGAGAUAAAAUUGUCACUCUGUGUGGAUGACAUGAUAUUAUACAUAGAAAACACUAAAGACUCCACAUAAAAACUACUCUUACUGAUCAAUGAAUCCAGCAAGUAACAGGAUACAAGAUUAAUAUUCAGAAAUUAGUUGCAUUUCUGUAUACUAACAAUGAAAUAUUAGAAAAGGAGUAUAAAAAUACAAUACCUUUUAAAAUCACACUCCCAAAAAUUAAAUACCUAGGAAUAACACUGACCAAGGAAGUGAAAGACUUGUAUGCUGAGAACUACACAAUAUUAAUCAAGGAAAUUAAAGAGGAUUCAAAGAAAUGGAAAUAUAUCCCAUGAUCCUGGAUCAGAAGAAUUAAUACUGUUACAAUGGCCAUACUACCCAAAGCAAUCUACAGAUUUAAUGCAAUCCCUAGCAAAUGACCCAUGAUAUUUUUCACAGAACUAGAACAAACAAUCCAAAAAUUUAUAUGGAACCAUAAAAGACCCAGAAUUGCCAAAGCAAUCCUGGGUGGUGGGGGGAGCAUGAAACCUAACUCUCCCAGACUUCAGACAAUAUUAAAAAGCUAUAGUAAUCAAGACAGUGUGGUACUAGCACAAAAACAGACCUACAGACAAAUGGAACAGAAUUGAAAACUCAGAAAUAAACCCAGACACCUAUGGUCAAUUAAUCUUCAACAAAGGAGGCAAGAAUAUAAAAUGUGAAAAAGAGUCUUUUCAGCAAGUGGUACUGGGAAAACUAAACAGCUGAAUGUAAAUCAAUGAAACUAGAACACACCACUACACCCUGCACAAAAAUAAACUCAAUAUGGCAUAAUGACUUAAACAUAAGACAAGACACCAUAAAACUCCUAGAUGAGAACAUAGGCAAAACAUUCUCUGAUAUCAAUCUUACAAAUGUUUUCUUAGGUCAGUCUCCCAAGGCAAUAGAAAUAAAAACAAAAAUAAACCAAUGAGACCUCAUCAAACUUACAACCUUUUGCAUAGCAAAGGAAACCAUUUAAAGAAAAGAAAACCUAUGGAAUGAGAUAAAAGAGUUUCAAACAAUACAGCUGACAAGGGCUUAAUCUCCAAAAUAUACAAACAACUCACACAACUCAACAGAAAAAAAAAAAACUGAAAAAUGGACAGAAAACCUAAAUAGACAUUUCUCCAAAGAAGACAUACAGAUGGCCAAUAGGCACAUGAAAAAAAAUGCUCAACAUCACUAAUUAUUACAGAAAUGCAAAUCAAAACUACAAUGAGGUACCACCUCACACCUAUCAGAAUGGACAUCAUUAAUAAGUCUACAAACAACAAAUAACAGAAAGGGUGUGGAAAAAAGGGAACCUUCCUACAUUGUUGGUGGGCAUGUAAAUUGGUACAACCACUAUGGAAAGCAGUAUGGAGUACCUCAGAAAACUAAAUAUAGAACUACCAUAUGAUCCAGCAAUCCCACUCCUGGGCAUAUAUCCAGACAAAACUUUUCUUGAAAAAGAUACAUGCACACCUAUGUUCACUGCAUCACUAUUCACAAAAGCCAAGACAUGGAAACAACUUAAAUGACCAUGAAUGGAUUCAGAUACGGUACAGGAGUUCCCGUCGUGGCUCAGUGGUAAACGAACCCGACAAGUAACCAUGAGGCUGUGGGUUCGAUCCCCAGCCUCACUCAGUGGGUUAAGGGUACGGCCUUGUCAUGAGCCAUGGUAUAGUUUGCAGACGCAGCUCAGAUCCCGUGUUGCUGCAGCUGUGGCAUAGGCCAGCAGCUACAGCUCCAAUUUGACCCCUAGCCUGGGAACCUCCAUAAGCCAUAAGUGCAGCCCUAAAAAGACAAAAGACAAAAAAAAAAAAAAAAGAUACAGUGCAUAUGCACAAUGGAAUGCUACUCAACCAUAAAAAAGAACAAAAUAAUGCCAUUUGCAGCAACAUGAAUGGAACUAGAGAUUCUCAUACUAACUGAAGUCAGAAAGAGAAGGACAAAUACCAUAUGAUAUCACUUAUACCUGAAAUCUAAUAUAUGGCACAAAUAAACCUAUCUACAGAAAAGAAAAAAACUAAUGGACAUGGAGAAGACUUGUGGUUGCCAAAGGGGAAGGAGAGGGAGUUUAGGGUUAGUAGAUGCAAACUAUUGCAUUUGGAGUGGAGAAGCAAUGAGAUCCUGCUGUAUAGCACAGGGAAUUAUAUCCAAUCACUUGUGAUGGAACAUGACAGAGGAUAACGUGAGAAAAAGAAUGUAUCUAUAUAUAUUUCCAUAUGUAUAUAUAUCUGGGUCACUUUGCUGUACAGCAGUAAUUGACAGGACAUUGAAAAUCAACUAUAAUAAACAAAUUUUUUAAAGAAAAUUGUCAGGCCUCAUGCAAAAACUCUUAAGGGAAACUUAAUUAAAGUGUGCAACUACAAGGACCUACUGUAUAGCACAAGGAACUAUUUUGAAAUAACCUACAAUGGAAAAGAAUCUGGAAAAGAAAAUCUAUUUUAUAUAUAUCUGAAUCACUUAAAACUAACACAACAUUGUAAAUUAACUAUACUUCAAUAUUAGAAUGGCAGCUACAAAAAAAAGAAUGUAUAUAAAUUUUUUAAAUUUUUUUUAAUAAAGUGUGUAACUAAGCCUCAGGCUACAGGAAUUCUAAGAGCCAUUCAAUACAAAAGACCCAGGAAACCAGUCUGAGAGUAGAGGCCCAUCAAAAAAGCCAAUGGCUGAUCCAGGAAGAUCUAGGACCAAUCUGCUAAGAAGAAUUGCCAUCAAAAGAGACCCUGGAAAGUCAUCAUGAG
rnacentral:lncRNA from 9 species